GAUCAUGGCUCAGGAUGAACGCUAGCUACAGGCUUGACACAUGCAAGUCGAGGGGAAACGACAUCGAAAGCUUGCUUUUGAUGGGCGUCGACCGGCGCACGGGUGAGUAACGCGUAUCCAACCUGCCCACCACUUGGGGAUAACCUUGCGAAAGUAAGACUAAUACCCAAUGACGUCUCUAGAAGACAUCUGAAAGAUAUUAAAGAUUUAUCGGUGAUGGAUGGGGAUGCGU
rnacentral:rRNA from 1 species